rnacentral:tRNA from 4 species
GCGGACGUGGCGGAAUUGGCAGACGCGCAGGACUAAGGAUCCUGUGAUAGAAAUAUCGUGCGGGUUCGACCCCCGCCGCCCGCA